GCCUGGCUGGCUCAGUCAGUAGGGCAUGAAACUCUUAAUUUGGGGUCAUGAGUUCAAGCCCCAUGUGUGGCA
rnacentral:tRNA from 1 species